rnacentral:rRNA from 1 species
AACGAACGCUGGCGGCGUGCCUAACACAUGCAAGUCGAACGAGAAGUCCCGGCUUUGUGGCGCACGGGUGCGUGCCGAGGGGGAACUUGCACUUAGGUACGGAAUAACUCCCCGAGAGGGGUGCUAAUAACAGAUAGUGUCUUCGGACAAAAGAUUUAUCGCCGUUGGAUGGGGGUGCGUUGGUUUAGGUGGUUGGUAGGGUAAAAGCCUACCAAGGGCACGAUCCUUAGCUGGUCUGUGAGGAUGAUUCGCCACACUUGGACUGAGACACAGCCGAGACUCCUACGCAAGGCAGCAGUGUAUAAUAUUGGACAAUGGGCGAAGGCCUGACCUAGCAAUGCCGCGUAAGUGAUGAAGGCCGUAGGGUUGUAAAUCUCUUUUACCCGGGAUGAUAGUGACGGUACCGGGAGAAUAAGCUCCGGCUAACUCCGUG